GGGGGUAAGGUAGUCUAGUGGUUAGGGCAUUUGACUCCCAGCCAAAAGGUUCUGGGUUCAAACCCCAAUAUCCACA